AACGCUGGCGGCGUGCCUAAUACAUGCAAGUCGAGCGGUUCCUUCGGGAGCAGCGGCGGACGGUGAGGAACACGUGAGUAACCGGGCAUCCAGUGGGGGAUAUCGGGCCGAAAGGCGCGGCAAUCCCGCAUACGUCCCGACUCCGGACGGAGUCGGGGGAAAGGCCUUCGGGUCGCUGGAUGGGGGGCUCGCGGCCCAUUAGCUAGUUGGGGGGGUAACGGCCUCCCAAGGCGACGAUGGGUAGCCGGCCUGAGAGGGUGAUCGGCCACACUGGGACUGAGACACGGCCCAGACUCCUACGGGAGGCAGCAGUAGGGAAUCUUCCACAAUGGGCGCAAGCCUGAUGGAGCAACGCCGCGUGAGUGAAGACGGCCUUCGGGUUGUAAAGCUCUGUCUGUCGGGACGAGGGCCCGGAUGCAAAUCCGGGCGGGACGGUACCGGCGGAGGAAGCCCCUGCAAACUACGUGCCAGCAGCCGCGGUAAGACGUAGGGGCAAGCGUUGUCCGGAAUUACUGGGCGUAAAGG
rnacentral:rRNA from 1 species